GACGAACGCUGGCGGCGUGCUUAACACAUGCAAGUCGUACGGGAAGGCCCUUUCGGGGGUACACGAGUGGCGAACGGGGGAGUAACACGUGAGUAACCUGCCCACAACUUUGGGAUAACGCUAGGAAACUGGUGCUAAUACUGGAUAUGUGCUCCUGCUGCAUGGUGGGGGUUGGAAAGCUCCGGCGGUUGUGGAUGGAGUUGCGGCCUAUCAGCUUGUUGGUGGGGUAGUGGCCUACCAAGGCGGCGACGGGUAGCCGGCCUGAGAGGGUGACCGGCCACAUUGGGACUGAGAUACGGACCAGACUCAUACGGGAGGCAGCAGUGGCGAAUAUUGCACAAUGGGCGUAAGCCUGAUGCAGCUACGCCGCGUGCGGGAUGACGGCCUUCGGGUUGUAAUCCGAUUUCAGCAGGGACGAAGCUUUUUGUGACGGUACCUGCAGAAGAAGCACCGGCUAACUACGUG
rnacentral:rRNA from 1 species